GCCCCCCAGGACCUUGGCCCCGUCCUUGGCCCACAUUGGGUGGGCGGUGGUGGCGGCAGCGGGGCAGUCGGCGGCAGGCGCGGCGGGCGCAGGGAGGCGAGCGCUGGAGGCGGCGGGGGGCUGGAGCUCGUUGCCCAUCCUGGUGCUGACCUCCAAGGAGCGGGUGAGCCGCAGGGCCGCGGGGCCGAGGAUGGGUGCCGGGGCCAGCGCCGAGGAGAAGCACUCCCGCGAGCUGGAGAAGAAGCUCAAGGAGGACGCUGAGAAGGAUGCCAGGACCGUCAAGCUGCUGCUACUGGGAGCAGGGGAGUCGGGGAAGAGCACCAUCGUCAAGCAGAUGAAGAUCAUCCACCAGGAUGGUUACUCACUGGAGGAAUGCCUGGAGUUCAUCGCCAUCAUCUACAGCAACACGCUCCAGUCCAUGCUGGCCAUCGUGCGGGCCAUGACCACCCUCAACAUCCAGUAUGGGGACUCGGCUCGCCAGGACGAUGCCCGCAAGCUUCUGCACAUCUCGGACACCAUUGAGGAAGGCACCAUGCCCAAGGAGUUGUCAGACAUCAUCGGGCGGCUCUGGAAGGACACAGGCAUCCAAGCCUGCUUUGACCGCGCCUCUGAGUACCAGCUCAAUGACUCGGCUGGCUACUACCUGUCAGACCUGGAGCGCCUGGUGACUCCCGGCUACGUCCCCACGGAGCAGGACGUGCUGCGCUCUCGUGUCAAGACCACUGGCAUCAUUGAGACCCAGUUCUCCUUCAAAGACCUCAACUUCAGGAUGUUUGAUGUGGGUGGCCAGCGCUCGGAGCGGAAGAAGUGGAUCCACUGCUUCGAGGGGGUGACCUGCAUCAUCUUCAUCGCGGCCCUCAGCGCCUACGACAUGGUGCUGGUGGAGGAUGACGAAGUGAACCGCAUGCACGAGAGCCUGCACCUCUUCAAUAGCAUCUGCAACCACCGCUACUUCGCCACCACCUCCAUCGUCCUCUUCCUCAACAAGAAGGAUGUCUUCAUGGAGAAGAUCAAGAAGGCCCAUCUCAGCAUCUGCUUUCCCGACUACGACGGUCCCAACACCUACGACGACGCGGGUAACUACAUCAAGCUGCAGUUCCUGGAGCUGAACAUGCGGCGGGACGUGAAGGAGAUCUACUCCCACAUGACCUGCGCCACCGAUACCGAGAACGUCAAGUUCGUCUUUGACGCCGUCACCGACAUCAUCAUCAAGGAGAACCUCAAGGACUGCGGGCUCUUCUGAGCCCCAGCCCCAGCACCCCCUCCCCAGCCCGGGCCUCCCCCUCCCCUGGAGCCCAGCCCCGCCGCUGCCCCCAGCCCACCUCUGCAACCAUCUCCACUUGUCCCAAACCCCCGGGAUUUGACCCACUCGGCCCUGGAGCCACCACUGGGUGGGGGGCAAGGCUCCGCUCCCCCUCCCUACCAGCCCUCCCGCCGGCCGGCACUGUGGGGCACCCAGUGCUGCUGGGUGCUGGGGGACACUGGGGUUCCUAGGGGUCCCUGUGUUCCCUUUGGAGCUGGGGGUGCUAGGGGUCCCCAGAUGACCCUUGGUGCUGAGGAGGCUGGGGGUCUCUGGGUGCCCCUUGGUGCUGGGUGAAACUUGGGGUGCUGCAGGGUGCUGGUGGUC